CUGGAAUGGGUUUUGGUCUAAAUGGCGUGACAGCAUCUUGUUAUGUCCGCCCGAGGAUGGGACUGCGGCCGAUCAGGCUGUUGGUGGGGUAAAGGCCCACCAAACCAGUAACCGGUACGGGCUCUGAGAGGAGGAGCCCGGAGAUGGGCACUGAGACAAGGGCCCAGGCCCUAUGGGGCGCAGCAGGCGCGAAACCUCUGCAAUAGGCGAAAGCCUGACAGGGUUACUCUGAGUGACUUUCGCUAAGAAAGUCUUUUGGCACCUCUAAAAAGGGUGCAGAAUAAGGGGUGGGCAAGUCUGGUGUCAGCCGCCGCGGUAAUACCAGCACCCCGAGUGGUCGGGACGAUUAUUGGGCCUAAAGCAUCCGUAGCCGGUUCUGCAAGUCCUCCGUUAAAUCCAGCUGCUCAACAGAUGGGCCGCGGAGGAUACUACAGAGCUAGGAGGCAGGAGAGGCAAGCGGUACUCAGUGGGUAGGGGUAAAAUCCGUUGAUCCAUUGAAGACCACCAGUGGCGAAGGCGGCUUGCCAGAAUGCGCUCGACGGUGAGGGAUGGAAGCUGGGGGAGCAAACCGGAUUAGAUACCCGGGUAGUCCCAGCCGUAAACGAUGCAGACUCGGUGAUGGGUUGGCUUCGCGCUAACCCAGUGCCGCAGGGAAGCCGUUAAGUCUGCCGCCUGGGUAGUACGGUCGCAAGACUGAAACUUAAAGGAAUUGGCGGGGGAGCACCACAAGGGGUGAAGCCUGCGGUUCAAUUGGAGUCAACGCCGGA
rnacentral:rRNA from 1 species